rnacentral:rRNA from 1 species
UUAAGCGACUAAGCGUACACGGUGGAUGCCCUGGCAGUCAGAGGCGAUGAAGGACGUGCUAAUCUGCGAAAAGCGUCGGUAAGGUGAUAUGAACCGUUACAGCCGGCGAUGUCCGAAUGGGGAAACCCAGUGCAAUUCGUUGCACUAUCGUUAACUGAAUACAUAGGUUAACGAGGCGAACCGGGGGAACUGAAACAUCUAAGUACCCCGAGGAAAAGAAAUCAACCGAGAUUCCCCCAGUAGCGGCGAGCGAACGGGGAGCAGCCCAGAGUCUGAAUCAGCUUGUGUGUUAGUGGAACGGUCUGGAAAGUCCGACGGUACAGGGUGAUAGUCCCGUACACCAAAAUGCACAGGUUGUGAACUCGAAGAGUAGGGCGGGACACGUGGUAUCCUGUCUGAAUAUGGGGGGACCAUCCUCCAAGGCUAAAUACUCCUGACUGACCGAUAGUGAACCAGUACCGUGAGGGAAAGGCGAAAAGAACCCCGGCGAGGGGAGUGAAAAAGAACCUGAAACCGUGUACGUACAAGCAGUGGGAGCACCUUCGGGUGUGACUGCGUACCUUUUGUAUAAUGGGUCAGCGACUUAUAUUCUGUAGCAAGGUUAACCGUAUAGGGGAGCCGCAGGGAAACCGAGUCUUAACUGGGCGUUAAGUUGCAGGGUAUAGACCCGAAACCCGGUGAUCUAGCCAUGGGCAGGUUGAAGGUUGGGUAACACUAACUGGAGGACCGAACCGACUAAUGUUGAAAAAUUAGCGGAUGACUUGUGGCUGGGGGUGAAAGGCCAAUCAAACCGGGAGAUAGCUGGUUCUCCCCGAAAGCUAUUUAGGUAGCGCCUCGUGAACUCAUCUUCGGGGGUAGAGCACUGUUUCGGCUAGGGGGUCAUCCCGACUUACCAACCCGAUGCAAACUACGAAUACCGAAGAAUGUUAUCACGGGAGACACACGGCGGGUGCUAACGUCCGUCGUGAAGAGGGAAACAACCCAGACCGCCAGCUAAGGUCCCAAAGUCAUGGUUAAGUGGGAAACGAUGUGGGAAGGCACAGACAGCCAGGAUGUUGGCUUAGAAGCAGCCAUCAUUUAAAGAAAGCGUAAUAGCUCACUGGUCGAGUCGGCCUGCGCGGAAGAUGUAACGGGGCUAAACCAUGCACCGAAGCUGCGGCAGCGACACUAUGUGUUGUUGGGUAGGGGAGCGUUCUGUAAGCCUGCGAAGGUGUGCUGUGAGGCAUGCUGGAGGUAUCAGAAGUGCGAAUGCUGACAUAAGUAACGAUAAAGCGGGUGAAAAGCCCGCUCGCCGGAAGACCAAGGGUUCCUGUCCAACGUUAAUCGGGGCAGGGUGAGUCGACCCCUAAGGCGAGGCCGAAAGGCGUAGUCGAUGGGAAACAGGUUAAUAUUCCUGUACUUGGUGUUACUGCGAAGGGGGGACGGAGAAGGCUAUGUUAGCCGGGCGACGGUUGUCCCGGUUUAAGCAUGUAGGCUGAUUGUCCAGGCAAAUCCGGAUAAUCAAGGCUGAGGUGUGAUGACGAGGCACUACGGUGCUGAAGUAACAAAUGCCCUGCUUCCAGGAAAAGCCUCUAAGCAUCAGGUAACAUUAAAUCGUACCCCAAACCGACACAGGUGGUCAGGUAGAGAAUACCAAGGCGCUUGAGAGAACUCGGGUGAAGGAACUAGGCAAAAUGGUGCCGUAACUUCGGGAGAAGGCACGCUGGUGUGUAGGUGAAGUCCCUGCGGAUGGAGCUGAGACCAGUCGAAGAUACCAGCUGGCUGCAACUGUUUAUUAAAAACACAGCACUGUGCAAACACGAAAGUGGACGUAUACGGUGUGACGCCUGCCCGGUGCCGGAAGGUUAAUUGAUGGGGUUAUCCGUAAGGAGAAGCUCUUGAUCGAAGCCCCGGUAAACGGCGGCCGUAACUAUAACGGUCCUAAGGUAGCGAAAUUCCUUGUCGGGUAAGUUCCGACCUGCACGAAUGGCGUAAUGAUGGCCAGGCUGUCUCCACCCGAGACUCAGUGAAAUUGAACUCGCUGUGAAGAUGCAGUGUACCCGCGGCAAGACGGAAAGACCCCGUGAACCUUUACUAUAGCUUGACACUGAACAUUGAGCCUUGAUGUGUAGGAUAGGUGGGAGGCUUUGAAGCGUGGACGCCAGUCUGCGUGGAGCCAACCUUGAAAUACCACCCUUUAAUGUUUGAUGUUCUAACGUUGGCCCCUGACCGGGGUUGCGGACAGUGUCUGGUGGGUAGUUUGACUGGGGCGGUCUCCUCCCAAAGCGUAACGGAGGAGCACGAAGGUUAGCUAAUCCUGGUCGGACAUCAGGAGGUUAGUGCAAUGGCAUAAGCUAGCUUGACUGCGAGCGUGACGGCGCGAGCAGGUGCGAAAGCAGGUCAUAGUGAUCCGGUGGUUCUGAAUGGAAGGGCCAUCGCUCAACGGAUAAAAGGUACUCCGGGGAUAACAGGCUGAUACCGCCCAAGAGUUCAUAUCGACGGCGGUGUUUGGCACCUCGAUGUCGGCUCAUCACAUCCUGGGGCUGAAGUAGGUCCCAAGGGUAUGGCUGUUCGCCAUUUAAAGUGGUACGCGAGCUGGGUUUAGAACGUCGUGAGACAGUUCGGUCCCUAUCUGCCGUGGGCGCUGGAGAAUUGAGGGGGGCUGCUCCUAGUACGAGAGGACCGGAGUGGACGCAUCACUGGUGUUCGGGUUGUCAUGCCAAUGGCACUGCCCGGUAGCUAAAUGCGGAAGAGAUAAGUGCUGAAAGCAUCUAAGCACGAAACUUGCCCCGAGAUGAGUUCUCCCUGAGACU